rnacentral:rRNA from 1 species
UACGUAGGGUGCAAGCGUUGUCCGGAAUUAUUGGGCGUAAAGAGCUCGUAGGCGGUUUGUCGCGUCUGCUGUGAAAUCUGGGGGCUCAACCCCCCAGCCUGCAGUGGGUACGGGCAGACUAGAGUGCGGUAGGGGAGAUUGGAAUUCCUGGUGUAGCGGUGGAAUGCGCAGAUAUCAGGAGAACACCGGUGGCGAAGGCGGCUGCUGGGCCUUACCUGACGCUGAGGCACGAAAGCGUGGGGAUCAAACAGG